rnacentral:rRNA from 1 species
GACGAACGCUGGCGGCGUGCUUAACACAUGCAAGUCGAACGGAAAGGCCCUGCUUGCAGGGUACUCGAGUGGCGAACGGGUGAGUAACACGUGGGUGGUCUGCCCUGCACUUCGGGAUAGGCCAGUGAGACUGGGUCUAAUACCUGAUAGGAGACAUUUUGAGUGUGAUGGUUGGAAAGUUUUGUCGGUUUAUGCUGAGAACGCGGCAUAUCAGCGUGGUGGUGGGGUAAUGGCCUAACAAGGCGGCGUACGGUAGCCGGCCGGGGUGAGUGGGCCGCCACCCUGGGUCCGACGGAAGGCCCCGGCACCUAAGGGUGGGCGAAGGGGGGAAUCUUGAACAAUGAGCGCGAGCCGAGUGCAGAGGCGCCGCGUGGGGGAAAACGGGCUUAGGGUUGAAAACCACUUUCGCUAGGGACGAAGCAUUUUGUGACGGUACCUAGAGAAAAAGCACCGGCUAACUACGUG